AUUCAAAUGACCUCUCUGUAGGACAUCUUCAUCUUGACAUUUCUCGGAUGGCCCAGCCUAAUCUAUACUUGAUUCAAUAUGCUGUCAACAUCUGACAUGUCAGCUGGUCCUGCAGUCCCAGUGACCGUGGCUGGAUCUAGCAAGUCUAUUGAGUCCCCAACUGCACUCUCUUCAGCAAUUUUGGGUCCUCAGCUACACUCUCCUCAGCACUGUCUGUGCUAUACAACAAUGGAUCAGUAUGUUCAAACAGAAGUAACAUAACAUGGUGUCAGGAGUGGUUCUGGAAGAAUAAUGCAGGAGAAUCGAGAAUCGAAGAUAAACGAAAGAAAGAAGAAAAACUGUUUGAACUAUAAACGGUAAAGUGGAAGGUUUACAACCCCCAUCAAAACUUCCGCUGACUGGAAUGUAGCUGAGAAUUGGAGGAUAUUCAAGCAACAGUUUGAACUGUACUUAUCAGCAAUUGAUUAUGAAGAAAAAUCGGGAAAAACCAAAGCGGCGCUUUUGCUCCAUAUAAUCAGGAAUGAUGCAGUA